rnacentral:rRNA from 1 species
GGGCUGCAGUGGGGAAUAUUGGACAAUGGGGGAAACCCUGAUCCAGCCAUGCCGCGUGAGUGAAGAAGGCCUUAGGGUUGUAAAGCUCUUUCAGUCGUGAAGAUGGUGACUGUAGCGACAGAAGAAGCCCCGGCUAACUCCGUGCCAGCAGCCGCGGUAAUACGGAGGGGGCUAGCGUUGUUCGGAUUUACUGGGCGUAAAGCGCACGUAGGCGGAUCGAUCAGUCAGGGGUGAAAGGCCUGGGCUCAACCCGGGAACUGCCUUUGAUACUGUCGAUCUUGAAUCCGGGAGAGGUAAGCGGAAUUCCAAGUGUAGAGGUGAAAUUCGUAGAUAUUUGGAAGAACACCAGUGGCGAAGGCGGCUUACUGGACCGGUAUUGACGCUGAUGUGCGAAAGCGUGGGGAGCGAACAGGAUUAGAUACCCUGGUAGUC